rnacentral:piRNA from 1 species
UGAACCAGUAGAGGGCGCUACAC